UUACGGCCACAUCAUAUUGAAACAUUGGUUCUUGUAUGAUCACCAAAGUUAAGCAAUAUUGUGCCUGGUCAGUAAUGAAAUGGGUGACCACUUGGGAAUAACAGAUGCAGUAA